AGGCUUUGGUUAUUUAUAUAAAAAGAUGUCGGACAGCUAGGUUGUUAGCUAUGAGAUUACACGAUCCUGAGAUUGUCGGGCCAUUGGACAUGCCAAACUGGAUAAAAUAAUUCACUUCUUAAUCGCUCCCACGAGAUCAGGAGAGAUGGUUAUGCCAAAUCUUAUCUAUUCGGGAUAGACAGCUGCCGCGCAUAUUGAAGAGAUAAAUCGACUGAGCAGCUUAUACACAGGUCAGACCUUGGUGAUGUCUUAGCUCAGUAUGAAGAUGGACUCAGCUCAUACGAUGGUCAGUAGUCGUGUUGAUGAUCUGAAAACUUGACAUGUGUUGUGAUAUAGUACUGAUCCAAGGU
rnacentral:lncRNA from 1 species